rnacentral:rRNA from 1 species
GACAGAGGGUGCAAACGUUGUUCGGAAUUACUGGGCGUAAAGCGUGUGUAGGCGGCCGCGCAAGUCGGAUGUGAAAGCCCCGGGCUCAACCCGGGAAGUGCACCCGAAACUGCGUGGCUCGAGUACCGGAGAGGUUGGUGGAAUUCUCGGUGUAGAGGUGAAAUUCGUAGAUAUCGAGAGGAACACCAGUGGCGAAGGCGAGUCUCUGGACGACUCCUGACACUGAGGCACGAAAGCUAGGGGAGCAAACAGG